CCUUUUCCUAACAUAAUCAAACUUCAGAGGACCUUUUUUGCAAAAUGCACGUACUGAGGGAGAGGAGUCUACGAAAGAACGGUAAAAGGUCCUGCAGACCGCUCGCUAGGGUUUUGGCGGCGAUCAAUAGAAGAAACGAUCUGACGGGAGGGACCUUUCAAGGAAUAGCAUCCCCCCGCAUCAUCCCUCGAUCUCGCUCUCUAGCCCCUUAGAGCUUCCACCCUCAUCCAUGGCGAUUCCCAGCCCCUACUCCGGCGUCAGCACCCUCGCCUUCCUCGUGCGUCGGCGUUCACCUUCGGUCUCGUCUAUGGGAGCAUGAAGCUCUCCUACCUCCAGGCAAAGGCAAAACAUAAUAAAAAAGCUGAGGCGAAAGGGCAUCAUUGAACUGGAAAUGCAUAAUUUUCUUUCUUGUUUCACAAUGACCUGAUUUGAGGGUUUAUUUCAAUUUGUUGCAGCAUCAUGAUUUACUUGCGAUUCUUAUCUUUCCCAGGAAAACUGGGAGGAUGGGUGACAUUUAUUCUGAUAAAAGAGGAGUUCAUCUCCUAACGUUUGUGAACUUGAAAAAAAUUAGAGAUGCCAAUUUAAAUAUCUCAAUCAUGAAACCUAUAUUGGUAGUUCCCUUCUUA